GGGUGGGGAGGGGGAGGGGAGCUGCAGGUCUGUAACCGCAAUCGCGAGGAGCUGGCGAGCGGAGAUCAGUUCCCGCGGCCGCCUCCCUGCCGCCUCCUUUGUGCCUGGUGACGCGCCUGAGCCUGGGGCCCUGCUGUGCCCCCGCCCCCGGGCCCUGCCUCCCUCCCCACGGAGGGUCACGUCUUCGGGUGGGGGCUCCGCAUCCCGAAGGCCCCAACAAAAGGCCACACGGGUCACCCAGAAUAUAAUCGUUACUGUCAGCGGUGUAGUCAGUAUUCUGUGGUUUGGGGACUGUUUCCACAAGAUGCUUACAGUGUGCCUCCCUCUGACACUCUUUUUGGAGGAAAGAUACUAUAAAGGGCAUGAAAAACCUUUAAUACAAGGAACAGAACUAGCGAGCAGCUGAUAAAAAAUCUGGGCCAGUGUAGAGAUGAGAGUGUUCACAACCAGCUGGGGGGAACUGAGUCAUUCAUUCAUUCAUCAAAAACGCAUGAAUGUCUACCGAGUGUGAUGUUAGGUUGCCCCGGGAGUGAUAAAAAUGUGUCAGACGUAUCUCACUUAGGGCAUGUUACACGUUGGACUAUAAUUGUGACAUUUUUACCUUCUCGAAAUAGCAACAUCUCCUGUCUCCAUCUCCUGGCAACAGCAUGUUCCCUCCUUUGGGAAACCCACCCACCUCAGUAGUGGGUUCCUCUCCCAAGCUUGAGUGAUCAUAGAACCUCCCCACCGCCACCACUCUUCCUUCCUCCCCCACCCACACACUUUCAUCUAAAGAUGGGCAUGGGUGACCAAGACAAGCCAGGCAGAACACACCCCUGGGCCUGUUACAGAUGAAGAGAGACAGUCAUGCUCGGCCCUGGGAGGCUGACAUUGAUGGAUACAUGACCAAAGCCUUAUUGCCUUGUGGAUUCCCUUUGUGUUCAACCAAUGCAAAGCACUGGUAGAUGAUCAAAACAAGGGAGGAGAGAAAUAUCAAGAGUCUAUGCCACUGCUGCCUACAAGACACUCACUUCAGAU